rnacentral:ncRNA from 1 species
AGAUGAGGAAGGGCGUAGUAAUCGACAAAAUACUUUGGGGAGUUGAAACUAAGCAUAGAUUUGGAGAUUCCCAAAUAGGGCAACCUUUCAAACUGCUGCUGAAUCCAUGGGCAGGGAAGAGACAACUUGGAGAACUGAAACAUCUUAGUAGCCAGAGGAAAAGAAAGCAAAAGCGAUUCCCGUAGUAGCAGCGAGCGAAAUGGGAGCAACCAAGUAGAUGCU